rnacentral:lncRNA from 1 species
GGGGGAGUACCAAAUAUCUGAAAUAAAAAGAUAUCUGUCUACACAGUGGGAGAAGGAGGAUCCGCAGCCGAUACUAGGUCUGUCAGAACUUUGACUUUGAACUUUGAGCGUCUGGAUCUAUAAGAAAUGAAUGUUCUGUUUUUACCGACCCUAGAUAUCAGAUCCUAUUCUAGCAGAGCAAACUGGUUAAGACAAAGGGCCUCUUGAUAUAAACAUUGCUCAACUGCAGCAGAAAAUACAUGUUUUUGCAUGUAUGGGUCCUUGUCUGUCAAAUCUCAAAAGAUGCUAUCUUCCAUCUUCAUUUUAGGUCUAACAAAGCUGUGGCACCUUCUUUGCUGUCUCUUCAUCUUGUACACAUUGUUCUGAUGAUUUCCUCAUUUGAUUCAUCCUUCAGCAUGCACCUUGAAGUCACUUCCUCUGCAAAUGUCUCCCCACAACAGCCCCCUGAAAAAGAUGCAGAGGUCCUUUAUUCAACCCCCCGUUAUCAGCAUGACACUGGAUUCUUAUUUUCCAUUUACUUUUUCCCCCCAAAGUGUAAGGAAAACCCAUGUUUAUUCUUUAUAUUCCCACUACCCUCAGUGACUGGUACCCAGGAAGCAUUGGCUUCCUUCAAGUCUGUUGACUUAGUGCUC